rnacentral:lncRNA from 1 species
UAGGCUUUUACGCAACGACGCGCAUCGCCUCCUGGUUUGAGUCGGGGGUGCUCAGAACUUUUCGUCGUCUUCCUCUUAAAAGUGCCCGUCGAUCAAGUGACUGAACUGAAGUCAAGACUCGCCUGAGCAAUUGCGUGGUCGGAACCCAAACAGCUGCUCUGCCAUCUUUUUCCUCUUUGCUUCGCCAUCAUGAGACUCAUCAAUGAACUGCAACUCAUAUUUGAACAGUCACAGUGCGUCGCCGCCGCCGCAUCGUGGAGUUUAAAUAGUUAAAAGGCGGUCUCUGGGAAAUUUGACGCUCCUGGUGUCUAGAGAAAUGUUACAUAUUAACAUUCCCUUUCCAGGUUUUUGGAGAAGGAGGAGGCGGCGGCUUCAGUUCUCUUCCCACCCUUGCCGUCGAGGAAAAAAAAACCCAAACUCCUUUUUCUUUCCACGGCCAUUGAUUCUCUUGGCGUCGAAGAACAAACCCCCAAACCGGAAGUUUUUGCCAAACAACUGUUGGAUUUGGGUCUUUUUCUGCCCCUUUCUCUGGAUACCUCUGGAGAUGCUGCUGAGACAGAUCUCUUGGCCCUAUUGUGCCUGGCUUGGGGUUUGCUUGUGGCUUUUGGCUGGAGAAAAUGGAUGUGUGAGCACUGAACUCUGCAGGAGCCCCCCAUGCAGUUGGAAUAGCCAUGGCGAGCUUUUGCCUGCCAGACCACAGUGCCAAGGUCCUCACUGCUUGCGAAGGGCAGGUCACUCUUCCAGGACCUUUGUUCCGACCAGCACAUCUGUGCAAGAGUCAGUGCAGAGCAAGGANUCGCCUUCUGCCUUCCUCCACCAGCAGCAGCCUCCACAGCAGUUGUCAGAGCAACACCCAGCACUGGUCUCCAGGGCUGCAGAAGUGAAUUGUUCUGGAGAGGGGAAUUGCACCACCAGGGUCUCCAGUAGCACCCCAGGGGACUGCAAAGGCAUUGAGUGUCGGCUGCCCCUGCGCAUUCGCCAGAAGCCCAGGCGGGUUACUGCAUGCUCCCCGGACCAAAGGGAAGGCUGCCCUGAGCCUCCCUUGGUCAGAGUAACGGAGAGGGCUGCCCAGUUUAUUGGGGGAGACCUUGCUUACACAGCUUCAGAACUAGGAGGUGCCACCUUGGGCGUUCAGCUUUCCUGUGACGUUAAACCAGGGCCAACACUAGAGGUGAACCAGUGGAAGCACUGGCAUGGGGUGAAUAGAGGAUAAGAGCAAGAAUCGUAUGGCUGCCCACAGUGCACCUGUAAUCUGCAGUUCCCACCCACUAGCCUGUCCCCUGAUGGCAGUAGAGUGUUCAGCAGCAAUGUCGGGUGCUUUAAGGUAAGGCCCGCCCAGAGGCAGCACACAGUGGGCAGAGCUAGCGAAA